rnacentral:rRNA from 1 species
UACGUAGGGUGCAAGCGUUGUCCGGAAUUAUUGGGCGUAAAGAGCUCGUAGGCGGUCUGUCGCGUCUGCUGUGAAAACUCAGGGCUUAACCCUGAGCUUGCAGUGGGUACGGGCAGACUAGAGUGCGGUAGGGGAGACUGGAAUUCCUGGUGUAGCGGUGAAAUGCGCAGAUAUCAGGAGGAACACCGGUGGCGAAGGCGGCAUCCUGGACCGGCAUUGACGCUGAGGAGCGAAAGCCAGGGGAGCAAACGGG